rnacentral:rRNA from 1 species
ACUUACCAUGUUACGACUUGCCUCCCCUUUAUUCCUUGAGGGGUUUAUUUAUAAUUUAAACUGGAUUCGGGGAGAGUGACGGGCGGUGUGUGCGCGCUUCAGGGCCAGUUUCAGCAGAACUCUCUAUUUUUUGCUUACUGCUAAAUCCUCCUUCUAGUAUACCUUUCAUUAUACUAUCCGUUUUCUUGGGGCAAGGAAUGUAGCCAUUUCUUCCCCUCUCAUAUGCUACACCUCGACCUGACGUUUUAAGUGUUACUGGUUUUGCUUACUAUUUGUCCUUCACAGGGUAAGCUGACGACGGCGGUAUAUAGGCGGAAAGAACAAGAGAGGGUGAGGUUUCACGGGGGUUAUCGGUUCUAGAACAGGCUCCUCUAGGUGGGUCUAAAGCACCGCCAAGUCCUUUGGGUUUUAAGCUGGUGCUCGUAGUACCCUGGCGAAUGAUAAUGUAUAGUUCAUUAAAGUUUACAGCUAUGCAUAGUGGGGUAUCUAAUCCCAGUUUGUUUCAUAGUUUUCGUGGAUUCAUGAGGUUAAAGUUACUUUCGUUUUUGGUCUUCUUAUUUUCGAGUGCGUAUAACAGUUUUGAAAACAUUCGACUUUAGUCUUUCUUUUAAAUUAACCACUCUUUACGCCGUUAUCUAUCAGCUUGAACCCCUCGUAUAACCGCGGUGG